UAGAGAGCUUGUAGCCGGGGUGGGUGGGGGGCACUGCCCUGCACCCUGGAGCUCAAGGACCGGUCUGGGACCCAUCACGGACCUCAACCCUGGUGAGCGGCCAGAGCACGUCGGGCACCGACAGGAGGAGCCCGGGAGGAGCCACGGGGUGCUCACGAUGGCCGGGGGCCCUGGAGAGACUCUGGAAGAAAUACUUGUGGGCCUUAGAGAACGGAGACCCGAGGACGGGGUCCUGGUUCCUGGUUCAUUCGCUGCUGCCGGUCACCCUCCUCCUGGCCGUCUACCUCCUCCUGGUGGUGGCAGGGCCUCGCCUUAUGUCCAGUCGGGAGCCUCCGAGUCUGGCAGGACCCCUCGCCGCCUACAACCUGGGCCUGGUGGCUCUCUCGCGGUACAUGUUCUAUGAGUUCAUGGCCACUUUGCUGCUGGCUAACUACAGCUACCUCUGCCAGACUACAGCCGGAGCAAGCUUGGGCUGAGGAUGGCGAGCGUGUGCUGGUGGUGCUUCUCAAAGGCCGUUGAAUUACUUGACACCGGAGUGCCUAUCGCUUGUAGAGAAUUACCUCUGUCAGCCAGGUCUGGGGUGGUUUUGAAGGCACUGUGAAUAAAUGCUUCCCUCCAGAGUCCCUGCUGGCUACACCUGAGGCUGAUGUCAGAGUCAAACCUCGAUCCUACGACCUGGAGAAAGAAGGAUGCUCACUGAUGAAGCAUUUGCCCCCAUUAGCAACCAGGUUCCAGGUCUUCUUUAUAUUACGGAAGAAGCCUGAGCAGAUCACCUUCCUGCACAUAUACCACCAUGGCACCAUGCUCUUCAAUUGGUGGGCUGGGGUCAAAUAUGUGCCGGGGGGUCAAGCCCACCUUCGUGACCUCGAGCAGCUCGUGCGGGACCCCGUUGUGAUAGGGCUACACCAGGGCUCGUCUCUGCGGGGUGUGCAGAGAUGGCUCCUUGGAAGACUGAAACUGGAAGAGAGAGCCCAGAGCACAGGCAAGCCCCGAGCCACUCACUUCCCUCCUUCUUCCCACCCUGCCCUGCAGCCUUCUUCGUCAGGAUGCUAAGCUCUCUGGUCCACGUCUUCAUGCACCUGUACUAUGGACUGGCCAGUCUGGGGCCCUGCCUGCGGCCUCCGUGUGGUGGAAGCUGCACCUUACUGUCCUGCAGCUGGUGAGAAAGACCUGCUGGCUCCAGGGGCCUCAGCGGAGCCCCGGCUUCUAUUCACGACUGCACCAGUGACUUGUAAUCUGACCACGAAAAAGUCCUUCUCAUUGCUUCCUUAGCCUCUCAACUUGCAAGAUCUCAGCAACCAUUUCGCCAGAUCUUAGAACCGACCCUGAUGUCCUGACCUGAUGUGAGGCCCGGAGCAAGUGAUUCCGGCCUCAGUCUCAUCUUCCAGUGAAGGUCAAUUUGUGGCCAUUGCCGCCCACUCCUCCUACAAUCUCUUUGCUGAGUGCCCCUUCCCCGACGGGUUCAACGUGGCCAUCCUCCUGUACUUGCUCCGCCUCUUGACCCUUUUCUUCAACUUCUACCAGCAGACAUACCUGAGGAGCAAGCGGAAGAAACCGGCUUAAGGGGCAGGACCAUGGACUGAAACUAACAGAGGGUUCACAUCCCACCUGGGCUGAGCAGAUUCCUCUGGGCCCGAGUCUCAUUCAAUGAGCAAAGACAAGACUCACCUCUGUUCCAGAGUCCAGGAAGACAGAAGUGGACUCAGCUUCUUGAACUCACUUCUCGUGUGGAUUUGUCACUGUUUGUACACCUCCUUUCAGAUACACAAUAGAAAGGGUGUAUGUGUGUGUCUGGGCGCUCAGUUGUGUCUGGCUCUUUUGCAACCCCAGGGACUGUAGCCCAGUAGGUGCCUCUGUCCAUGGGAUUCUCUAGGCAAGAAUGCUGGAGUGGGUUGCCAUUGCCUUCCCCAGGAGAUCUUCCCAACCCACGUCUGUUCUGUCUCCUGCUUUGGCAGGUGGGUUCUUUACCACUGAGCCACCUCUGCUAGAUAUGAGCCCCACAGGAGGGAUUGGCUUACUCUCCAUGGUCCCCAGACCUGGAACAGCACCUCAGUAAGUGGGAAUUUGGGUCCACAUCUUGCCCCACUGGUGGUCAUGACCUCUGAUGAAGAGCAGGGCUGGGAGCAUGGAAGAAGUCAAGGUUGGCUCGAUCUCUCACCUUGUGGGUGGAGACAAUGAGUGAGAAUGUCUACCAAGAAAGUGGGUCUGUGUGAUUUCUAGCAUGGAUGUGCAAACAGUUCCCCUGCAUAUAUCUCUCUGUUCAUCAGUGCCUACAUGUGUAUUUACAAAGUUGUAUAAUUCUGUGUGUGUGAGUGGAGUGGCAGACAGGACUACACAUAUAGGUCUGAAUGUGUGUCCUAAGUCACUCUGUGGACUGUAGCCCACCAGGCUCUUCUGUCCUUGGGAUUCUCCAGGCAAGAAUACUGGAGUGGGUUGCCAUUGCCACCUGCAGGGGGAUCUUCCCAACCCAGGGAUCAAACUUGCAUCUCUCAUGUCUCCCUCUUUGGUAGGCAGGUUCUUUACCACUGGUGCCACCUGGAGAGCCCCAUGUGUCUGAGUACUUGUUUUCAAAUACAUGUAUAUGCUUCUA